rnacentral:rRNA from 1 species
AAAACUCCGGUGGUAUGAGAUGGGCCCGCGUCUGAUUAGCUAGUUGGCGGGGUAACGGCCCACCAAGGCAACGAUCAGUAGCCGACCUGAGAGGGCGACCGGCCACAUUGGGACUGAGACACGGCCCAAACUCCUACGGGAGGCAGCAGUGGGGAAUAUUGCACAAUGGGGGAAACCCUGAUGCAGCGACGCCGCGUGAGCGAUGAAGUAUUUCGGUAUGUAAAGCUCUAUCAGCAGGGAAGAAGAUGACGGUACCUGACUAAGAAGCCCCGGCUAACUACGUGCCAGCAGCCGCGGUAAUACGUAGGGGGCAAGCGUUAUCCGGAUUUACUGGGUGUAAAGGGAGCGUAGACGGCGGUGCAAGCCAGAUGUGAAAGCCCGGGGCUCAACCCCGGGACUGCAUUUGGAACUGUAUGGCUGGAGUGUCGGAGAGGCAGGCGGAAUUCCUAGUGUAGCGGUGAAAUGCGUAGAUAUUAGGAGGAACACCAGUGGCGAAGGCGGCCUGCUGGACGAUGACUGACGUUGAGGCUCGAAAGCGUGGGGAGCAAACAGGAUUAGAUACCCUGGUAGUCCACGCCGUAAACGAUGACUACUAGGUGUCGGGCAGCAAAGCUGUUCG